GAGCACCAAGACGUAGGCGGCUGUUUCAUGACCUACAUGACGCGCAUAUCAUGACAUUCAUGUCAUGACCUAUCGUUUAUGUUCGUCAUACACCCUUGUCAGACUAUGCCAAUUUUGGUACCUACCAAGUU
rnacentral:lncRNA from 1 species